GAGAGAAUUAGAGAGAAGGUGGAGGGGAGAGAGAGAAUUAGAGAGAAGGUGGAGGGGAGAGAGAGAAUUAGAGAGAAGGUGGAGGGGAGAGAGAGAAUUAGAGAGAAGGUGGAGGGGAGAGAGAGAAUUAGAGAGAAGGUGGAGGGGAGAUAGAGAAUUAGAGAGAAGGUGGAGGGGAGAGAGAGAAUUAGAGAGAAGGUGGAGGGGAGAGAGAGAAUUAGAGAGAAGGUGGAGGGGAGAGAGAGAAUUAGAGAGAAGGUGGAGGGGAGAGAGAGAAUUAGAGAGAAG